UCUGGCUUAUAGCCCAGCGGUCUCGCUAGAGUGCCCAACUUAAUGAUGGUAACUAGCGACGAGGGUUGCGCUCGUUGCGGGACUUAACCCAACAUCUCACAACACGAGCUGACGACAGCCAUGCAGCACCUGUCACCGCGUCCCCGAAGGGAACGCCUACUUUCGUAGGUUAGCGCGGGAUGUCAAGCCUGGGUAAGGUUCUUCGCGUAGCAUCGAAUUAAACCACAUGCUCCACCGCUUGUGCGGGCCCCCGUCAAUUCCUUUGAGUUUUAAUCUUGCGACCGUACUUCCCAGGCGGGAUACUUAAUGCGUUAGCUACGUUACCGAGACAAUUAGGAAUCCCGACAACUAGUAUCCAUCGUUUAGGGCGUGGACUAC
rnacentral:misc_RNA from 1 species